rnacentral:sRNA from 1 species
UCAGAGACAGUAUAUGUUCAGAUAGACA